CGAAUGGGGAAACCCGGUGCACUUCGGUGCAUCAUCGUUAGCUGAAUACAUAGGCUAACGAGGCGAACCGGGGGAACUGAAACAUCUAAGUACCCCGAGGAAAAGAAAUCAACCGAGAUUCCCCCAGUAGCGGCGAGCGAACGGGGAACAGCCCAGAGCCUGAAUCAGCUUGUGUGUCAGUGGAACGGUCUGGAAAGGCCGGCGAUACAGGGUGACAGCCCCGUACACGAAGGCACACAGGCUGUGAGCUCGAUGAGUAGGGCGGGACACGUGAUAUCCUGUCUGAAGAUGGGGGGACCAUCCUCCAAGGCUAAAUACUCCUGACUGACCGAUAGUGAACCAGUACCGUGAGGGAAAGGCGAAAAGAACCCCGGCGAGGGGAGUGAAACAGAACCUGAAACCGUGUACGUACAAGCAGUGGGAGCCUUCGUAAGAGGGUGACUGCGUACCUUUUGUAUAAUGGGUCAGCGACUUAUAUUCUGUAGCAAGGUUAACCGUAUAGGGGAGCCGAAGGGAAACCGAGUCUUAACCGGGCGUUAAGUUGCAGGGUAUAGACCCGAAACCCGGUGAUCUAGCCAUGGGCAGGUUGAAGGUUGGGUAACACUAACUGGAGGACCGAACCGACUAAUGUUGAAAAAUUAGCGGAUGACCUGUGGCUGGGGGUGAAAGGCCAAUCAAACCGGGAGAUAGCUGGUUCUCCCCGAAAGCUAUUUAGGUAGCGCCUCGUGAACUCAUCUCCGGGGGUAGAGCACUGUUUCGGCUAGGGGGCCAUCCCGGCUUACCAACCCGAUGCAAACUGCGAAUAC
rnacentral:rRNA from 1 species